rnacentral:rRNA from 1 species
AGAGUUUGAUCCUGGCUCAGGAUGAACGCUAGCGACAGGCUUAACACAUGCAAGUCGAGGGGCAGCGGGGGUAGCAAUACCUGCCGGCGACCGGCGCACGGGUGAGUAACGCGUAUGCAACCUACCUAUCAGAGGGGAAUAACCCGGCGAAAGUCGGACUAAUACCGCAUAAAACAGGGGUCCCGCCUGGGAAUAUUUGUUAAAGAUUUAUCGCUGAUAGAUGGGCAUGCGUUCCAUUAGAUAGUUGGUGAGGUAACGGCUCACCAAGUCCACGAUGGAUAGGGGUUCUGAGAGGAAGGUCCCCCACACUGGUACUGAGACACGGACCAGACUCCUACGGGAGGCAGCAGUGAGGAAUAUUGGUCAAUGGGCGAGAGCCUGAACCAGCCAAGUAGCGUGAAGGAUGACUGCCCUAUGGGUUGUAAACUUCUUUUAUAAAGGAAUAAAGUCGGGUAUGCAUACCCGUUUGCAUGUACUUUAUGAAUAAGGAUCGGCUAACUCCGUGCCAGCAGCCGCGGUAAUACGGAGGAUCCGAGCGUUAUCCGGAUUUAUUGGGUUUAAAGGGUGCGUAGGUGGUUUUUUAAGUCAGCGGUGAAAGUUUGUGGCUCAACCAUAAAAUUGCCGUUGAAACUGGAAGACUUGAGUAUGUUUGAGGUAGGCGGAAUGCGUGGUGUAGCGGUGAAAUGCAUAGAUAUCACGCAGAACUCCAAUUGCGAAGGCAGCUUACUAAACCAUAACUGACACUGAAGCACGAAAGCGUGGGGAUCAAACAGGAUUAGAUACCCUGGUAGUCCACGCAGUAAACGAUGAUUACUAGCUGUUUGCGAUAAACGGUAAGCGGCACAGCGAAAGCGUUAAGUAAUCCACCUGGGGAGUACGCCGGCAACGGUGAAACUCAAAGGAAUUGACGGGGGCCCGCACAAGCGGAGGAACAUGUGGUUUAAUUCGAUGAUACGCGAGGAACCUUACCCGGGCUUAAAUUGCAACCGAAUAUGGCGGAAACGCCAUAGCUAGCAAUAGCGGUUGUGAAGGUGCUGCAUGGUUGUCGUCAGCUCGUGCCGUGAGGUGUCGGCUUAAGU